CAAUGACAGAGGUGGGAAAGUUUCUAUAAAAGCUUGAGCCUCGCGCCCCUCCAUUCUUUUGCGGUCGAGUGCGAAGCGGGAGAGUUGUAUUAGUGCGUACGCCAUGUGCUAAGAUCCAGGGAAGAACUGGGCCACGAGCGUGGCUUUGAGGGCGGCCUGAAAGCUGCAGGCCGGCCUGGUCCACGGGCGUCCAGCCUUGGCCUAGGCUCCACUUUGUCCCUUAGUGUUUAAACGUUUCUUUCUGAACCUCAGACCCUCAGCUACCUGCAGGUUUCGUCGCCAGCCGGCUGCAAAUUUUGAACCUAAGUAAACCUCAAUCCGGAGGGCCGAGCGGUAAGGUGGGCGUUGUGGCGAUUGAAGUGCUUAGCAAUAAAGCAAAGGUAGUGAGUUGA